GACGAACGCUGGCGGCGUGCCUAACACAUGCAAGUCGAGCGAAGUUUUCAAAGCAGAUUUCUUCGGAUUGAAGCUUUGAUUAUCUUAGCGGCGGACGGGUGAGUAACGCGUGAGAAACCUGCCUUUCACAAAGGGAUAGCCUCGGGAAACUGGGAUUAAUACCUUAUGAUACUAAUUCUUCGCAUGAAGAAUUAGUCAAAGCGUAAAGCGGUGAAAGAUGGUCUCGCGUCCCAUUAGUUAGUUGGUGAGGUAACGGCUCACCAAGACCGCGAUGGGUAGCCGGCCUGAGAGGGUGAACGGCCACACUGGAACUGAGACACGGUCCAGACUCCUACGGGAGGCUG
rnacentral:rRNA from 1 species